UGAUGGUUGGUGGACAAGGGGCAGC
rnacentral:piRNA from 1 species